AGAGCGAACGCUGGCGGCAGGCUUAACACAUGCAGGUCGAGCGGGCGUAGCAAUACGUCAGCGGCAGACGGGUGAGUAACGCGUGGGAACAUACCUUUUGGUUCGGAACAACACAGGGAAACUUGUGCUAAUACCGGAUAAGCCCUUACGGGGAAAGAUUUAUCGCCGAAAGAUUGGCCCGCGUCUGAUUAGCUAGUUGGUGAGGUAACGGCUCACCAAGGCGACGAUCAGUAGCUGGUCUGAGAGGAUGAUCAGCCACAUUGGGACUGAGACACGGCCCAAACUCCUACGGGAGGCAGCAGUGGGGAAUAUUGGACAAUGGGCGCAAGCCUGAUCCAGCCAUGCCGCGUGAGUGAUGAAGGCCCUAGGGUUGUAAAGCUUCUUUUGUGCGGGAAGAUAAUGACGGUACCGCAAGAAUAAGCCCCGGCUAACUUCGCGCCAGCAGCCGC
rnacentral:rRNA from 1 species